rnacentral:rRNA from 1 species
UGGCGGCGUGCCUAAUACAUGCAAGUCGAACGCUUUUUCUUUCACCGGAGCUUGCUCCACCGAAAGAAAAGGAGUGGCGAACGGGUGAGUAACACGUGGGUAACCUGCCCAUCAGAAGGGGAUAACACUUGGAAACAGGUGCUAAUACCGUAUAACAAUCGAAACCGCAUGGUUUCGGUUUGAAAGGCGCUUUUGCGUCACUGAUGGAUGGACCCGCGGUGCAUUAGCUAGUUGGUGAGGUAACGGCUCACCAAGGCAACGAUGCAUAGCCGACCUGAGAGGGUGAUCGGCCACAUUGGGACUGAGACACGGCCCAAACUCCUACGGGAGGCAGCAGUAGGGAAUCUUCGGCAAUGGACGGAAGUCUGACCGAGCAACGCCGCGUGAGUGAAGAAGGUUUUCGGAUCGUAAAACUCUGUUGUUAGAGAAGAACAAGGAUGAGAGUAGAGUGUUCAUCCCUUGACGGUAUCUAACCAGAAAGCCACGGCUAACUACGUGCCAGCAGCCGCGGUAAUACGUAGGUGGCAAGCGUUGUCCGGAUUUAUUGGGCGUAAAGCGAGCGCAGGCGGUUUCUUAAGUCUGAUGUGAAAGCCCCCGGCUCAACCGGGGAGGGUCAUUGGAAACUGGGAAACUUGAGUGCAGAAGAGGAGAGUGGAAUUCCAUGUGUAGCGGUGAAAUGCGUAGAUAUAUGGAGGAACACCAGUGGCGAAGGCGGCUCUCUGGUCUGUAACUGACGCUGAGGCUCGAAAG